rnacentral:piRNA from 1 species
UCAAUGUCCCGAUACCCGUGUGCAUGUCUU